ACAAAGGCUGCUUUUGCAACCACAGUAUUUAUUCAUUUCAUUAAUGU
rfam:Colius striatus contig81933, whole genome shotgun sequence.